rnacentral:tRNA from 1 species
GGGGGCAUGACUAAGUGGUAGAGCUCUUGCUUCACAAGCAUGAGGGCCUGGGUUCAAAACCCCAAUACCACCA